CGGCGAACGGUGAGUAACACGUGAGUAACCUCGCCCCUAGCGACCGGGAUAGCUCCGGGAAACCGGAAUUAAUACCGGAUAUGACCACGGUCGGCAUCGACUGUGGUGGAAAGGAUUCCGGCUAGGGAUGGACUCGCGGCCUAUCAGCUAGUUGGUUGGGGUAACGGCCCACCAAGGCGACGACGGGUAGCCGGCCUGAGAGAGCGACCAGCCACACUGGGACUGAGAAACGGCCCAG
rnacentral:rRNA from 1 species